AACUACUUUUUCUCAAACUGGGGGUCAUGAUUCCUGGGGUUCCAAGGACAUAGUCUCAGAUCCUCCAUUAGAUAGUUUAAAAGUCGCAUUUAUAUUUCUAAGGUAUCUCAAAAAUUUCAUAUCAGCAUUCAGUUAUGAUCAUCUGAGUGACCAGCUCAUAACUGAGAAGUGCCAAGAAUUUUUAUGCCUCUAUUUGCAUUUGGGUUUUCAAUUCAUUAACAGCAAGUAAGACCACUCUAAUUAUCAUGGACUAACAGGAAGAGAGCACAGAUAUUUUCACACCAAACGAAGGCAAAGUAAUGAACUGGCCCAGCUGUCGCAAGGUUUUCCAGUGGAUUGAAGGGAUAAAUGUUGGGGGAAUUGAGUCAUCAUAAAGCACGCAGUGGCAUAGCAAUGCUGAGCUCCGGGAUGCCCGCAGUAUAGCCAUCAGUACUAUGUUCACGUCGGGAGUCGCAGCUCAGUUCCAGAAAAAUAUCACCUGUCAAGUUAAACUUAGAUGUUCUCAUCAUGAAAACAUUUACCAGUAAAUUUCCUGCAUACAAGUCUUCUCUUAGAGGGUGUUUCCCAGAGAACCACUUCUAUGAGAGUUGGUGCCAGGUGUGGUAUGAGGAAGCCAACCCUACAGUGAGAUUUUGGAGCAGGAUCAUCUCCAGCUGACUGGCAUUGAGGAGAGCAUCACUGGUGGCAAGUGGAACACGGAUCACCCCAGGCUUGAAACUUGCAUUUUUUGGAUUUAUCAUUGGUGAAAUGAAAUUUCAAGUGCCUACUACAUCAUUCUUGAAGGAGAGAAUGCAGGAUUAAAGAAAAAAAAAAUAUCCCAGUCCUCAUGGAGUUUACAUUCUAGUGGAUUAAUGCUGAUUAAUUUGGAGUAUAAACUGCUCAAUAUUGUGAUCACCCGGGCAAGACCAUUAUCUCCAUGUUAGAAGGGGAAAACUGAGGGAAAUGAGGAAACUGAA